UACGGAGGGUGCAAGCGUUAUCCGGAUUCACUGGGUUUAAAGGGUGCGUAGGUGGGCAGGUAAGUCAGUGGUGAAAUCUCCGGGCUUAACUCGGAAACUGCCAUUGAUACUAUCUUUCUUGAAUACCGUGGAGGUCAGCGGAAUAUGUCAUGUAGCGGUGAAAUGCUUAGAUAUGACAUAGAACACCAAUUGCGAAAGGCAGCUCACUACGGGAUUAUUGACA
rnacentral:rRNA from 1 species